ACCUGCUGCUGGAUCAUUACCCAAGUGAUACCAAUUCACCACCUACCUGCUGUCCAGUUGAGUCAGUGUGGGCAACACCACAUGCCUCCGUUUGUUGUUGACGGACACAUGCCCGCUAUGUUUGGGCUGGCACAUUGAUCAACAAUGUAYGGACAGCGCCCUGUGGGCACAUGAGUGUUGGGGUGUAACCGAUGUUGGUGGCCCAAUGGGUGACUCGACGAUUGCUGUUGUCGUCGGGUCGCUGCACCAACGGAGGUGGCACGCCCACAGGGCACCCUAACGGCUGUGCUGGCGUCUGUGCGUCGUUGAGCGGUUGUUGCGCCUUGCGCGGAUAUGCUGACAUGGAAUGUAGGCUGCUAUUCCAUGUYGUACGUGCCGUACCCGGCGGCAUGUCUGCGCUUGUGUGCUACGUCCGUGACCGUGAUGAGACGACGUGUUAGGACCCGUGCCUGGCAUUGGCACGUGGUUUAAGACUUGAUGAGUGCCCGCAGGCACCGCCAGCUUUUUCUCAUUUUUAUAAAUUUUUUAAUGCAAUUUGAUUGCUAAAAUAUUCUAGUCUUAUCGGUGGAUCACUCGGCUCGUGGAUCGAUGAAGAACGCAGCCAACUGCGAUAAUUAGUGUGAACUGCAGAAACCUUGAACACAGAACUUUCGAAUGCACAUUGCGCCAUUGGAGUGACAUCCAUUGGCACGCCUGGUUCAGGGUCGUAACCAAAAAAUGCACUGCAUGUGCGUGUUUUAUUUGCUAAGAUCACGCUUCGGCGUGUUCUUGCAUACCAUUGAAUGCUACGCUGUGUAGCGUUGGACGUGCUGGCGCGAAAAUGUGUUGUCUUUCGCGCUUUACAGACCGUAAUUUAGGCACGUCCUUCGUUCACAUGCGAUAGCUGAAUGCCUCGCCAAUAGGCAUUUGCAAUUGAACAUUUCGACCUGAACUCAGACGUGAACACCCGCUGA
rnacentral:sRNA from 1 species